rnacentral:rRNA from 1 species
ACGGAAGGCAGCAGUGGGGAAUAUUGCACAAUGGGCGAAAGCCUGAUGCAGCGACGCCGUGUGAGUGAAGAAGUAUCUCGGUAUGUAAAGCUCUAUCAGCAGGGAAGAAAAUGACGGUACCUGACUAAGAAGCCCCGGCUAACUACGUGCCAGCAGCCGCGGUAAUACGUAGGGGGCAAGCGUUAUCCGGAUUUACUGGGUGUAAAGGGAGCGUAGACGGUUUGGCAAGUCUGAAGUGAAAUGCGGGGGCUCAACUCCUGAACUGCUUUGGAAACUGUCGAACUAGAGUGCAGGAGAGGUAAGUGGAAUUCCUAGUGUAGCGGUGAAAUGCGUAGAUAUUAGGAGGAACACCAGUGGCGAAGGCGGCUUACUGGACUGUAACUGACGUUGAGGCUCGAAAGCGUGGGGAGCAAACAGGAUUAGAUACCCUGGUA